rnacentral:rRNA from 1 species
AAUGAACGCUGGCGGCGUGCUUAACACAUGCAAGUCGAACGAAGCAAUUUAUUUGAUUUCCUUCGGGACUGAGUGUUUUGUGACUGAGUGGCGGACGGGUGAGUAACUCGUGGGUAACGUGCCUUGUACAGGGGGAUAACAGUUGGAAACCGCAGCUAAUACCGCAUAAGCACACGGCAUCGCAUGAUGCAGUGUGAAAAACUCGGGUGGGAUAAGAUGGACCCGCGUUGGAUUAGCUAGUUGGUGAGGUAACGGCCCACCAAGGCGACGAUCCAUAGCCGAGCAGAGAGGCAGGCCCGCCACAUUGGGACUAGGACACGGCGCAAAAUACUACGGGAGGGGGCAGUGGGGAAUAUUGCACAACGGCGGAAAGGCUGAUGCAGCGACGGCGCGAGAGCGAAGAAGUAGUUCGGUAUGUAAAGCACUAUCAGCAGGGAAGAUAAUGACGGUACCUGACUAAGAAGCACCGGCUAACUACGUG